GCUCAACUUUGAAAUCUGGCUGUUUUACAGUCCGAGUUGUAGUCUCGAGAAGUGUUUUCCGCGUUAAACCGUGUAUGAGUCUGUUGGAACACAGCGUCAUAGAGGGUGAGAACCCCGUUCAUGACACGGCUUUUAAUGCUUUGUGAUACAUUUUCGAUGAGUCGAGUUGUUUGGGAAUGCAGCUCAAAUUGGGUGGUAAAUUCCAUCUAAAGCUAAAUAUUGGCGAGAGACCGAUAGCAAACAAGUACCGUGAGGGAAAGAUGAAAAGCACUUUGGAAAGAGAGUUAAAAGUACGUGAAAUUGUCGAAAGGGAAACGCUUGAAGUCAGACGUGCACGGGAUUUAUUCCUAUUGCAGGCCAACAUCGGUUUUACGAGCCGGAUAAAGGUACAAGGAAGGUAGCAGUUUCGGCUGUGUUAUAGCCUCGUACUGAAUACGGAUUGUGAGACCGAGGGACGCAGCGCGCCGCAAGGCAAAGGGUCCGCCCUUUUCGCGCUUAGGAUGUUGGUGAAAUGGCUUUAAUCGACCCGUCUUG
rnacentral:rRNA from 1 species